rfam:Claviceps purpurea 20.1, WGS project CAGA01000000 data, contig: scaffold00091
UCAUGAUGAGACACCAGCUGGCACCAGUCAUAGAGUGACUUGUACUCCCUUCAUUGAUGACCGAUUUUGCUGUGGUCUACGACCAUUUCUGAU